CUCGUAGGCGGUUUGUCGCGUCGGGAGUGAAAAUCCAGGGCUUAACUCUGGACUGGCUUUCGAUACGGGCAGACUAGAGGUAUGCAGGGGAGAACGGAAUUCCUGGUGUAGCGGUGAAAUGCGCAGAUAUCAGGAGGAACACCGGUGGCGAAGGCGGUUCUCUGGGCAUUACCUGACGCUGAGGAGCGAAAGUGUGGGGAGCGAACA
rnacentral:rRNA from 1 species